UGAACGCUGGCGGCAGGCCUAACACAUGCAAGUCGAACGGUAGCACAGAGAGCUUGCUCUCGGGUGACGAGUGGCGGACGGGUGAGUAAUGUCUGGGAAACUGCCUGAUGGAGGGGGAUAACUACUGGAAACGGUAGCUAAUACCGCAUAAYGUCGCAAGACCAAAGAGGGGGACCUUCGGGCCUCUUGCCAUCAGAUGUGCCCAGAUGGGAUUAGCUAGUAGGUGGGGUAACGGCUCACCUAGGCGACGAUCCCUAGCUG
rnacentral:rRNA from 1 species